GAUGAAGAACGCAGCGAAACGCGAUAAGUAAUGUGAAUUGCAGAAUCCAGUGAAUCAUCGAAUCUUUGAACGCACAUUGCGCCCGCCAGCAUUCUGGCGGGCAUGCCUGUUCGAGCGUCAUUUCAACCCUCGACCUCCCCUUGGGGAGGUCGGCGUUGGGGACCGGCAGCACACCGCCGGCCCUGAAAUGGAGUGGCGGCCCGUCCGCGGCGACCUCUGCGCAGUAAUACAGCUCGCACCGGGACCCCGACGCGGCCACGCCGUAAAACACCCAACUUCUGAACGUUGACCUCGAAUCAGGUAGGACUACCCGCUGAACUUUAGCAUAUCAAUAAGCGGAGGA
rnacentral:misc_RNA from 1 species